CCGUGGCCAUUUUGGCUCGCUCAAG
rnacentral:sRNA from 1 species